UUGAGAUUUCUCGAUGUCUUGA
rnacentral:siRNA from 1 species